UAGGGAAUCUUCCACAAUGGACGGCAAGUCUGAUGGAGCAACGCCGCGUGAGUGAAGAGGGUCUUCGGAUCGUAAAACUCUGUUGUUAGAGAAGAACACGAGUGAGAGUAACUGUUCAUUCGAUGACGGUAUCUAACCAGCAAGUCACGGCUAACUACGUGUCAG
rnacentral:rRNA from 1 species